GACGAACGCUGGCGGCGUGCUUAACACAUGCAAGUCGAGCGGUAAGGCCCUUUCGAGGGUACACGAGCGGCGAACGGGUGAGUAACACGUGGGUGACCUGCCCUCAGCUCUGGGAUAAGCCUGGGAAACCGGGUCUAAUACCGGAUAUGACUCCAUGACGCAUGUUGUGGGGUGGAAAGCCUUGUGCGGCUGAGGAUGGGCCCGCGGCCUAUCAGCUUGUUGGUGGGGUGANGGCCUACCAAGGCGACGACGGGUAGCCGGCCAGAGAGGGCGACCGGCCACACUGGGACUGAGACACGGCCCAGACUCCUACGGGAGGCAGCAGUGGGGAAUCUUGCGCAAUGGGCGAAAGCCUGACGCAGCGACGCCGCGUGAGGGAUGAC
rnacentral:rRNA from 1 species